CCAAUAGCGUAUAUUAAAGUUGUUGCAGUUAAAAAGCUCGUAGUUGAAUUUCGGGAUUAAUAUGCCGGUCAUGCCUUGGUAUGCACUGGUAUCUUUGAUUUCUCCCUUCUGACGAACUUUGAUGUCAUUAAUUUGGUGUCAUAGGGAAUCAGGACUGUUACUUUGAAAAAAUUAGAGUGUUUAAAGCAAGCUCACGCUUG
rnacentral:rRNA from 1 species